GGUAGGGUGGCUGAAUUAGGUGAUAGACUGUAAAUCUAUUUAUGAGGGUUAUUCCUCCCUUGCCA
rnacentral:tRNA from 1 species